CCUCCCUGGCAAUGGGCAAAGAGACACCUUGUUGGUAGCGGUGGUGUUCUUAUAUCAGUCAGGGGCAGAACAGAUGGCAGUACUUUGUUCAACCUAGCUUGAGUCCUGGAUUCAUAGCCAAAGCUGUCUUAUUCCUAGGAUUCAUAC